AGUUUCAUAAUAUUAAAAUUUUCAUUAAUACUAGAUGAAACUGUGCGAUGCCCGAUUUGUAUCCCCCAAUCCCAACAUGUGAGUAGUUCAACUACUGUUCAUUUCUGUUACUGUAGCUUAGUAACAGAGCAUUUCCUUCCCUACCGUUGCUCCAAACAAACUCUUCUUCGUCACGUUUUUUCCUCAUUCUCAGUGUGCUUUCAUGGAUAUUCCCUUACAUCUCCUUCAUUUUCUCUCUCGACGGUUCUGCACCAGUUACGGCGAUGGAUUACAAUUAUAAUAUCGCAAUUCUCUUUAAAUCUUAGCCAUCUUGAAGCUCUUGUUGAUCAUGCUCAAUUCUCAAGGUCUGUAAACCCUAACGCUAACUAUCAAAGUACUCAGUUCUUUCAUGAUUUUGUCCUUAUGCACCACUUACGGCGACGGAUUCUCAAUUCAAAUGUUGCAAUUUUUUUGUGGGUUGAAUCGAUGGGCAAUUUGUUUGGUUGCUCCGCCUCUGGUGAGCGGCUGGUGUCGGCAACGAGAGACGAAGGGUCAUGGAGUGGGUAUUUUUUUUUUUUUUUUUUUUUUUUUUUUUAAUAUUUUAUUCCACAUAAAAAGCAUUAGAUCGAUGUUCAGAUAUCUUUUUGGUUGGUUGAUUCCCAUUUCCAAUUGAAUAGGAGAGUAGAAAUUGAAAAAAAAAGUGGCAUGUGUACGUGAUUAUAGCUUUGAAGAUUCAGAUUUGCUCAACUAUUUAGCAGGGUGGUGAUGAAUUGGCGAAUCCUAAGCCGUCGCCAUAUGAGGAGGCAAUGAGUGCGCUGUCGUCUUUGAUUACUACUCGAACUCGUGCUGAGAAGAGCAAUAGCGGUGAUCACUUUGAGUUGCUGUUUGAUUAUAUUAAGAUAUUGGAGGUGGAAGAACCAAUUUCUAAGUUGAAGGUUAUUCAUGUGGCUGGCACCAAAGUUUACAUGUGCAAUUGAUGACUUGAAAGCCGGUUUACGGAGACGGGGUCCUGAUAGUUUGGGGACCAAAAAGUUUAUCCUUGAAGUGAAGGAUGCAGAAGUACAUUCUUAUGUUGCCAGGGAUGAGGAAACUGAAAGGGAAAACUCUUGUUUGCACGCUAUGUAUGCGUGAUUGUAAACCUUUUUGUGAUGGAGAGAGUGGAAUUGGAAUGCAUCAGUCUGUUGCAGAGAUGUACUUUGUUGGUGCAGUAUUACAGUUGAGGGGAACAAAGCCAGUUAUGCAGCCGUUAGUCAGUGCGACUGGGAAUGUCCUCAUUUAUAAUGGUAAUUUCAAUUUUAUGUAUAUUUGUUGUAGAUUGAAAAGGCCCGAGCAAUGAUAGACAAAAGCUUUAUUAGUGUAGACCAGUGAACAUCCAUGAUUAAGCUUUCGAGAGGCUUGUUCUCUCCCUAACCAGCAUUUGAGAGUUUGGAGCUCACUACUUUUUAGCAAUAUUCAGUAUGCCUUUUCCCAAUGGCUACUCGCCCUUAUCUAUACUAAUCUGAUGACUAAUAAGUAAUAACAGAAUAAUAUUAGACUACCCAUAAUGCUCCUCCUUUAGGUCUGUUCAAUACAUCAAUCUACAUAAUUUCUACUCCAAAAUAAUGCAUUCCCAGGCAAUAUCUAGCGUUUAUGAUCAUGUGUAGUUCAUGUGGCAGCAUAGGAUUAUCUUCCUCUGCAUAAAUUGUACUUUAUGUGAUUAGUCUAAGUUUCUUGGUAGUAAUAAGAAGUAUUUAUUACUCUCUGCAUUAAUUUUAUUGGUUAAUUCCAGUGUGUGUACAUGUGGGCUUCAAACAAUAUCUGAGGAUUAUGAGCUUUCUGAUUUUUGUAGGAUUUUUGCUACUUUGUAUUUUGAUUGAACACAAUCAAUGCUCACGGGGCAUUAAAAUAAAUAUUUUGUUCCGAAUGUGUUUUUUUUCUUCCUAAAAUUAGGUGGGGGAUUGGAAGUAUGAGUUUGGCUUCAUGUUAGCUGACAUUUUGAAGCAAAAUUAAGUAAAUAAUUCAGACAUGAGAUUUGAUCCCGGGGCAAGGACAGCUAAUUCUGAUAGGUUUAUAGCUGAUUAUGAGAAUGAUCAUAAUUCCUAUUGUUAGUCUGCUUUGUUAAAUUUCAGAGCAAAAGAGGAGGAGAUUGAGGAGGAGGCUCUUUAGCGAGUUCAAGCCCAAAGAGUGCUAAAAACUUAAAAGAGUUCAGGCUCUUUACCCUCUUAUGGAAUGUGCUGCAGAACAUCAACCUCAGAAUGUGCAGCCUCACUGUUCAAAAUGGGUUAAGUUCUAUCUUUAAGAGUUCAUCUUCUGAAGAAAAUCCUGAAAUUAAGGUUUCAUCUGCUCUGCUCCCAUUUUACAGGGUGGAUUAUUUGUCCUAUUGUCCAAAUUAGAUGAUGGCGAUGACAUAGAUCUCUUUGAUGGUGAGACUGAGGAAGAGCAGAAAGCUGCUGAAGAGAGAGAGGCAGCUAAGAAGGCAUUUGGAAAGAAGAAAGAAAGGCGAAAAAGGAGGAAAUUGAGAAGAAUAAAUGGAGGGUUGUGACUUGUGAGCAAGCUGAAGCUCAACUAGGCCAAGUCAAGGAGGAGACUAAACGUUUUGCUUUGAUUCUUAAGGUUUUUCUUUCUCCUCUUUCUAAUUUUUCCUAGCUGAAAUUUUAUAGUAUUUAGAAUUUGUGCUUGUCCCUUUUAAUGAACAAAAUGAAAGCAGAUAUUCUUUAUUUUGGAUUUAAUUUCUUUAAUUUCUAUGUUCAUUAUGUCUGAUUGUAUAGCAAAAGGAUGGGAACUUCUGAUUUAACUCACUGAAAUUUUAUAGCAUUGAGAAUAUGUGAAUAAGGGGUUAUAUUCAUUUACACCUUCUCCAUUGGAAAGUUUACGGAGGCUUCUUAAUCUACUCUCUGUCUUAGGCUAUUCAUCUUUGUUUAAGUUUAAGGCUAUUCAAAUUGAUAUACUAGGACUUUGUCUGGUCUUGUAGAGCAACAAAUAAUAGCAUAAGUUCUAUUUGGGGCACUUUGUAAGAUUUGUUACUGUUUUCUUAAUUUCUAUACUCCAUUAUAUAAUGUUGUGGGCUAUGUAGCCUCUUAUAUAUUAUGUGAGUAUUUCGGUUUAUUUAUGAGGAAAAUUCAUUCAUUUGUUUUAUUAAUCAUUCCUAUGUAUGUUCAUAUUGAUACGUGUAUAUUAACAUGGAAGUAGGAAAGACAAAUUUCAUCCUCACUUAAAUUUAUUUCGGGUUUCUCAUGAUCCCUCUACAUCGAAUAAUUCUCAAUUAUAAAAGGAUAAGGAGUGCCCAAAGGUUUUCUAUUAAAGGGUUUAGCUUUAUGCCCUAAAUUUUAACUAUCCAGUUCAAAGGUUGUCGUUAAUUUCUCAAUUGAGGGCUAAAAAUUGGGGUGUUGUUGUUUGGGGAUUUCUGAUAAAUGUUACAUGUGAUACCUUGCAAAGAUUGAUGUUAAAGUUGUGCAUUUGUUGUGUGAUUGAUUUAGUUCAUCAUUAGAUAAACAAGGUAGCUAAUUAUGAAUGACUAAUUUUGAUUGAAGAUUGGUUUUAGCUUUAAAUUAGUGUUAUACUUCUUGAUCCCUGUUUGUAAUCUUGGAGUAUUGAAAUUGGUGUUGUCGCUUUAAUGUUGAACUCUGAAUUAUUUUCUUUGUUAAACCAUAACCAGAAACUAUAAGACGACGAGUGGAGUGAAAAAAAAGAGUUUGAGAGAAAGAUCUGGGGAGAUAGCAGUGAGUUUUAGGGAAGAGGGGAGGAAGGGAAAGUGGUACAGUGAAGGAGGGAGCAAAUAGGAAGGGAUUACUAAAAUUACAAUAACCAGAAAAUAUGAGUGGGGAAAGAGAAAGGGAGUGAGAAAACAAGGGUCAAGAUAAAAAGAUAGAUUGAUGGAUAUCAUGUAGAAAGUGGCCUUCUAAAAUUCACGUUCCAUAAAAAAAUGAGUAACACAAGGAGAUAGAGCCCGUAGAGGAAAAGGAAAUGAGAAGGGAGGAGGACUGGGGGAGGGGGGAGUAGCAAGGAAUAUGAUAUGAUUUUCUUUGUUGAACAUAUCAUAAAAGACGGGUUGAGUGAAAAGAAGAGCUUGAAAGAGAUAUCUGGGGAGAUAGCAGUGAAUUUUAGUGAAGAAAGAGGCCUUCUAAAAUUCACGAUUCAUAAAAAAAUGAGUAACACAAGGAGAGAGAGCCCGUAGAGGAAAAGGAAAUGAGAAGGGAGGAGGAGAGGGAGUAGCAAGGAAUAUGAUAUGAUUUUCUUUGUUGAACAUAUCAUAAAAGGCGCGUUGAGUGAAAAGAAGAGCUUGAAAGAGAUAUCUGGGGAGAUAGCAGUGAAUUUUUGUGAAGGGGGGAGGAAAGGAAAGUGGUACACUGAGGGAGGGAGCAAGUAGGUAGAGACUUACUAAAAAUUACAAAAACCAUAAAAUAUGAGUGAGAUAAAAAAGGAGAGUGAGAAAAUAAGGGCUUGGAAAGAUUAAUAGAUAAAUUGAUGGAUAGCAAGUAGGAAGAGCCCUUCUAAAAUUCACAAUCCGUAAAAAUGAGUAACAAAAGGAGAUAGAGCCCAUAGAGGAAAAGGAAGUGAGAAGGGAGGAAGGGGGG